rnacentral:rRNA from 1 species
UACGUAGGAUGCAAGCGUUGUCCGGAUUUAUUGGGUUUAAAGGGUGCGUAGGCGGCCUAUUAAGUUAGUGGUGAAAACGUUCGGCUUAACCGGAUACCCGCCAUUGAUACUGAUAGACUUGAGUGCGACAGAGGGUGUUGGAAUGUGUGGUGUAGCGGUGAAAUGCUUAGAUAUCACGCAGAACACAAAUUGCGAAGGCAGAUGCCUAUGUCGUAACUGACGCUGAGACGCGACAGCAUGGGGAGCGAACAGG